rnacentral:rRNA from 1 species
UACGUAGGUGGCAAGCGUUGUCCGGAUUUACUGGGCGUAAAGAGCGCGCAGGCGGUCGUUCAAGUCGCGUGUGAAAGCCCCCGGCUCAACUGGGGAGGGUCACGCGAUACUGAUCGACUCGAAGGCAGGGGAGGGAAGUGGAAUUCCGGGUGUAGUGGUGAAAUGCGUAGAUAUCCGGAGGAACACCAGUGGCGAAGGCGACUUUCUGGCCUGUUCUUGACGCUGAGGCGCGAAAGCUAGGGGAGCAAACGGG